GUAGUGGUAAGUGACAUGGUCACUUCGCU
rnacentral:sRNA from 1 species